AGGGUGCUUUGGCGUUGGCAGCGGUCUAAGUUCCUUGGAACAGGACAUCGCAGAGGGUGAGAAUCCCGUAUGUGGUCGCAUGCCUUCGCCGUGUAAAGCCCCUUCGACGAGUCGAGUUGUUUGGGAAUGCAGCUCUAAAUGGGAGGUAAAUUUCUUCUAAAGCUAAAUACCGGCCAGAGACCGAUAGCGCACAAGUAGAGUGAUCGAAAGAUGAAAAGCACUUUGGAAAGAGAGUCAAACAGCACGUGAAAUUGUUAAAAGGGAAGCGCUUGCAGCCAGACUUGCCUGUAGUUGCUCACCCGGGCUCCUGCCCGGGGCACUCUUCUGCAGGCAGGCCAGCAUCAGUUUGGGCGGUCGGAUAAAGGCCUCUGACACGUACUUCCUCUCGGGGAAGACAUAUAGGGGAGGCGUAAUGCGACCAGCCCGGACUGAGGUCCGCGCAUCUGCUAGGAUGCUGGCGUAAUGGCUGUAAGCGGCCCGUCUUGAAACACGGACCAAGGAGUCUAACAUCUAUGCGAGUGUUUGGGUGUCAAGCCCGAGCGCGUAAUGAAAGUGAACGGAGGUGGGAACCCCUCGGGGCGCACCAUCGACCGAUCCUGAUGUCUUCGGAUGGAUUUGAGUAAGAGCAUAGCUGUUGGGACCCGAAAGAUGGUGAACUAUGCUUGAAUAGGGUGAAGCCAGAGGAAACUCUGGUGGAGGCUCGCAGCGGUU
rnacentral:rRNA from 1 species